CGAUGAGUAGGGCGGGACACGUGGUAUCCUGUCUGAAUAUGGGGGGACCAUCCUCCAAGGCUAAAUACUCCUGACUGACCGAUAGUGAACCAGUACCGUGAGGGAAAGGCGAAAAGAACCCCGGCGAGGGGAGUGAAAAAGAACCUGAAACCGUGUACGUACAAGCAGUGGGAGCACAGAGCAAUCUGUGUGACUGCGUACCUUUUGUAUAAUGGGUCAGCGACUUAUAUUCUGUAGCAAGGUUAACCGAAUAGGGGAGCCGAAGGGAAACCGAGUCUUAACUGGGCGUUAAGUUGCAGGGUAUAGACCCGAAACCCGGUGAUCUAGCCAUGGGCAGGUUGAAGGUUGGGUAACACUAACUGGAGGACCGAACCGACUAAUGUUGAAAAAUUAGCGGAUGACUUGUGGCUGGGGGUGAAAGGCCAAUCAAACCGGGAGAUAGCUGGUUCUCCCCGAAAGCUAUUUAGGUAGCGCCUCGUGAAUUCAUCUCCGGGGGUAGAGCACUGUUUCGGCAAGGGGGUCAUCCCGACUUACCAACCCGAUGCAAACUGCGAAUACCGGAGAAUGUUAUCACGGGAGACACACGGCGGGUGCUAACGUCCGUCGUGAAGAGGGAAACAACCCAGACCGCCAGCUAAGGUCCCAAAGUCAUGGUUAAGUGGGAAACGAUGUGGGAAGGCCCAGACAGCCAGGAUGUUGGCUUAGAAGCAGCCAUCAUUUAAAGAAAGCGUAAUAGCUCACUGGUCGAGUCGGCCUGCGCGGAAGAUGUAACGGGGCUAAACCAUGCACCGAAGCUGCGGCAGCGACACUGUGUGUUGUUGGGUAGGGGAGCGU
rnacentral:rRNA from 1 species